rnacentral:rRNA from 1 species
GAGUUUGAUCCUGGCUCAGGAUGAACGCUAGCGGCAGGCCUAAUACAUGCAAGUCGAACGGUAAAUAUUGUAGCAAUACAAAUAUGAGAGUGACGUACGGGUGCGUAACACGUAUGCAAACCUACCCUUUACAGGUGGAUAGCUCGGGGAAACCCGAAUUAACCCAUCGUAGUAUCAUUGAAUGGCAUCAUUUGAUGAUUAAAAACUCAGGUGGUAAAGGAUGGGCAUUGCGUCUGAAUUAGUUAGUUGGCGGUGUAACGGACCACCAAGACGAUGAUCAGUAGGGGGAACUGAGAGGUUGAUCCCCCACACUGGCACUGAGAUACGGGCCAGACUCCUACGGGGGGCAGCAGUAGGGAAUAUUGGUCAAUGGAUGCAAGUCUGAACCAGCCA